GGAUGUGAGGGCGAUCUGGCUGCGACAUCUGUCACCCCAUUGAUCGCCAGGGUUGAUUCGGCUGAUCUGGCUGGCUAGGCGGGUGUCCCCUUCCUCCCUCACCACUCCACGUUGCGCGCUCGGUCGAAGAGGACGACCAUCCCUGAUAGAGAAGGACCGUUCUUCGGUCAAGGGCAUACAAGUAACUGCGCUCUCCUGCUAGAACCUCCAAACAAGCUCUCAAGGUCCAGAAAAGGAAGCCAGGGGCAGAAGCCAAAAGGAAACAACUGGGGUUCAGACCUUGAAUCUUAGAAGAUGGCUUUGGAU
rnacentral:snRNA from 1 species